rnacentral:lncRNA from 1 species
GAGGAGGAGAAAGUGGCUCUCAGCGGCCGGUCGGAUUAAAAGUAACCAGACUCGUCCAGAAAACUGCGUCCAGGAAGGAAGUGACAGAAGACGAAUGGGAAAAGGAGAACAGCUCACAGCGUUUGAAACAUCGCGGCACCACUUUCAGAUAAAAACAUAGACCUGAAUGGCAUCAUCCAGUAUCCAAGGAAACCAUUGUGUCUGUAACCAGCUAAUGAGCUGCAACAGAGCCUGGCCUUCAUUUUCAGCAAAUUAAGUUCAUCCCUCAUAGGAAUUGUGGUCUGGCUGUGGCACCGCUCCUAGGUUCUCUAAACAUGAAUAUGCCUUUGGGGGAAGACAGAAGAACAUGGAAGCCAUGUGAAAAAAACGGAUCCUAAGAAGCAUUGAAAAGAACAACUUUCAAGUCAAAAGAAUCAAGGUGAAGAGAAUGGAUACUCAUGCCCAUGUGAAUUUGCUGCCCCAAGUCUACUGGAGGAUCAAGCUGCAGGUUUCAAUAGCUAUAGCCUGAAGAAUCUCUGUAAUGAACUAAAACAAUCAGUAAAAGAUCAGUUGCAGUGGAAGACAUUAUACUCUAGAUUUUUCUAGUAUUAUUAAAUUUGAAAAUGAUUUAUUCCAAAUUUUAACUUAGCUUUUAAUUUUACUAGUGUCAAAAUGUUGUACUACUUUGGACAACUGAUUUUUCCAAUAGAGAGUCAAUAGCAUCUUUGCAGGGUGGUUUAAAAGCCAAUAAUUUAAUCCAUAUUCUACUAAAACUUUUAAUAUAAGCAUUUUACCCAGAUGUAUUUUUUCCUUGUUUUAGAAAAUCUGAUUUUAAUUGCUAAAACUCGUUUUUAAAUAUUAAUUCAAUGAAAGAAAUGCUAUGGUUUUCUACUUUUUCAUUUCUUAAACUCAAGGGAAAACAUGGGUGAAAAACAAAAAAUUGUUCUGCAUAGAGUCUUCUUUAAUGUCUCACUUUGGUGAUGUAUGAAAUAAAAACCAAAUUGUUUUAACCAGCUAAAAAUCUUAGGUUUGAAUUAUCCAGAAUGCUUGUGUUUUGCAGUCAUUUCUUGUGAUUAUUUUAUUUUGUUCCUCUGGUAUGCACCAUCGUAUUAACACAUGCUAAGUAAGGGGCCAUUUUUAAACACACAUGCUUUUGUUGCUAAAUCUGCUUCUAGUUUUGUCUGGGCAAAAAAAUAUUCUGGAGUUUCUGGUAAGAAUGGUUAAGGCAGGAUGAGUGGAGAAAGCAACUCAAAGGGAACUACAGGAGACAAACUGGGGUUUAUUUGAUACGUAAAGGCCAUCUUUUGUGACUCUGCUCUUUUAGGGGGUGUAUGUAUCAUUUUCUCAUUUGAAUGUCUUUGUGGUGCAAAUAUAGGCAAUUUAAUCAAACCCA